rnacentral:rRNA from 1 species
UAAGGAAUAUUGGUCAAUGGAGGGAACUCUGAACCAGCCAUGCCGCGUGAAGGAUGACGGUCCUCUGGGUUGUAAACUUCUUUUGGAUGGGGCGAAAAAACGGGAUUUAUCCUGGACUGACGGUACCAUCAGAAUAAGCACCGGCUAACUCCGUGCCAGCAGCCGCGGUAAUACGGAGGGUGCAAGCGUUAUCCGGAAUCACUGGGUUUAAAGGGUGCGUAGGCGGUUGUAUAAGUCAGGGGUGAAAGCACGCAGCUUAACUGUGUAAUUGCCUUUGAUACUGUACGGCUUGAAUAGGGUUGAGGUUGGCGGUAAUGUGACAUGUAGCGGUGAAAUGCAUAGAUAUGUCAUAGACACGAUUGCGAAGGCAGCUGACUGGCCUAUAGUUGACGCUGAGGCACG